UCUUACAAAGAACCUUAGAGCCUAAAGUACUUUUGCAAUAUGAAAUUAUUUCAAGUGAUUGUUGCAGUUUCCUGCAUUAUUGCCUUCGCCAUGGCAACUCCAGGCAAUAAUGUAAUUAAAGGAGAUAAUAAUGCUCAGAAUAAACAGAAUAAUGCUGAUGUGGGUGUUCAUUUACUCGGCUAAUUUACAGAUAAUUUAUACUAUUGGUUGAAUGAUAUUAUUAAUAAAUAAAACAAGAUGAAUUACAAAA